rnacentral:rRNA from 1 species
UAAUUCUCUAGUGGCGCACGGGUGAGUAACACGUGAGUAACCUGCCCCCGAGAGCGGGAUAGCCCUGGGAAACUGGGAUUAAUACCGCAUAGUAUCGAAAGAUUAAAGCAGCAAUGCGCUUGGGGAUGGGCUCGCGGCCUAUUAGUUAGUUGGUGAGGUAACGGCUCACCAAGGCGAUGACGGGUAGCCGGUCUGAGAGGAUGUCCGGCCACACUGGAACUGAGACACGGUCCAGACACCUACGGGUGGCAGCAGUCGAGAAUCAUUCACAAUGGGGGAAACCCUGAUGGUGCGACGCCGCGUGGGGGAAUGAAGGUCUUCGGAUUGUAAACCCCUGUCAUGUGGGAGCAAAUUAAAAAGAUAGUACCACAAGAGGAAGAGACGGCUAACUCUGUGCCAGCAGCCGCGGUAAUACAGAGGUCUCAAGCGUUGUUCGGAAUCACUGGGCGUAAAGCGUGCGUAGGCUGUUUCGUAAGUCGUGUGUGAAAGGCGCGGGCUCAACCCGCGGACGGCACAUGAUACUGCGAGACUAGAGUAAUGGAGGGGGAACCGGAAUUCUCGGUGUAGCAGUGAAAUGCGUAGAUAUCGAGAGGAACACUCGUGGCGAAGGCGGGUUCCUGGACAUUAACUGACGCUGAGGCACGAAGGCCAGGGGAGCGAAAGGGAUUAGAUACCCCUGUAGUCCUGGCAGUAAACGGUGCACGCUUGGUGUGCGGGGAAUCGACCCCCUGCGUGCCGGAGCUAACGCGUUAAGCGUGCCGCCUGGGGAGUACGGUCGCAAGAUUAAAACUCAAAGAAAUUGACGGGGACCCGCACAAGCGGUGGAGUAUGUGGCUUAAUUCGAUGCAACGCGAAGAACCUUACCUGGGCUUGACAUGUAAUGAACAACAUGUGAAAGCAUGCGACUCUUCGGAGGCGUUACACAGGUGCUGCAUGGCCGUCGUCAGCUCGUGUCGUGAGAUGUUUGGUUAAGUCCAGCAACGAGCGCAACCCCUGUUGCCAGUUACCAGCACGUGAAGGUGGGGACUCUGGCGAGACUGCCCAGAUCAACUGGGAGGAAGGUGGGGACGACGUCAGGUCAGUAUGGCCCUUAUGCCCAGGGCUGCACACGUACUACAAUGCCCAGUACAGAGGGGGCCGAAGCCGCGAGGCGGAGGAAAUCCUAAAAACUGGGCCCAGUUCGGACUGUAGGCUGCAACCCGCCUACACGAAGCCGGAAUCGCUAGUAAUGGCGCAUCAGCUACGGCGCCGUGAAUACGUUCCCGGGUCUUGUCACACCGCCCGUCACAUCAUGGAAGCCGGUCGCACCCGAAGU